rnacentral:piRNA from 1 species
UGCAUACUGUUGCAAAGUGUAGCAAUGUAC